rnacentral:lncRNA from 1 species
AAAAUCCAACAUUUUGUUGGAUAAUCCCACUAACUCUUAGUGGGAUAUGUGGCUAUAUGAGAUAUAGACACCUAGCCCACUAAGUUCCACUAAUUGUUAGUGGAAUAUUAGGUGUUGAGAUUUGGCAAUUGAAUUGCAUGCAUUUUUGCAUGCAAUUAGGCUAUAAAUAGAGGUGUUUUCAAAUGUUGAAGGACUUUUGCCUCUUUUAUCAUUUUCAUAAUCUCAACAAAAGAAAAAAGAAAGCUUCCAAUCUCAUUUUAUCUCCAUUAUUUUCUACACCAAAAUUGGGUCCCACAACCCGGUUCUUUGUCCAGAGGAUAGCAGUUGAGUACUAGUGGUGGUCUCGGGUAGAAUUGGUAAGAAGACAUCAAACCUUUUGAAAGCUUCAAAGGUAAUACUUCUUAAAACCCUAAUUUGAUUAGUUUAUGGUUACAUGUUAAUUGUGGCAAUUAGGGUAGAAAUUCGAUUCUUUUUCCGCUGUGCAUGACUUAGUUCUAUCACUUUCGACCUCUACGGUUGAUAACUUUGACAUAAUUCCUCCAAUAAGCUUCCUUGAUAAUCAUCCAAAGGAAGUAUUAGAAGUCACUACAUGUCAUGCUAUCAGCAUAGAAGAAGUUGGAUCACUGACGACGAAGAAGCCCGAUCGCUCCUACUAGGGAGGUAGAUCUUACGCAUAAUCUCGAUUGUCCUCUAGAAGAAGUUGGAUCGCUAACGGCGAAGAAGCCCGAUCAAUCCUACUAGGGAGGUGGAUUUGACGGCAAAGUUCGAUCAUCCCCAAGAAGAAGUUGGAUCGCUGAUGGCAAAGAAGCUCGAUCGCUCCUACUAGGGAGGUGAAUCUGAAGGCAAAAGUCUGAUCGUCCCUAGAAGAAGUUGGAUCAUUGACAACGAGAAAGCUCGAUCGUUCCUAGAAGAAGUUGGAUCACUAACGGCGAAGAAGAUUGAUUGCUCCUACCAGGCAGGUGGAUCUGACAGCAAAAGCCCAAUCGUCCCCUAAAAAAAGUUGGAUCGCUAAUGGCAAAAAAGUCUGAUCGCUCCUACUAAAGAGGUGGAUCUGAUGGAAAAAGCCUGAUCGUCCCCUAAAAGAAGUAGGAUUGUUGACGACAAAGAAGCCCGAUUGCUUCUAUUAGGGAGGUGGAUCUGACGGCAAAAGUUUGAUCGUCCACUAGAAGAAGUUGGAUCGUUGAUGGCGAAGAAACCCGAUCGCUCCUACUACAGAGGUGGAUGUGACGACAAAAGUCUUAUCGUCCCCUAAUAGAAGUUGGAUCACUGAGGGCAAAAUUAUCCAUGCAAACGAUUGUAAAAAAAAAAAAAGAAGAAGAAGAAAUAUGAAAAUGUUUUUACCUUUAGCUCCCGUAAAAAAACAAAAACAAAAAUACAAAAAAAAAAACAAAAACAAAAAUACAAAAAACAAAAACAAAAACAAAAAUACAAAAAAAUACAAAAACACAAAAAAUAAAAAAAUAAAAAAACAAAAAAAGAGGAAGAGGGAAAGGGAGAAGAAAAGUUUUUCAUACCUUUCUGUUGUUGGAUAAGGAAUAAAUAAUCAUGAUGUGAGUCUAUUUAUAAAACCAACAAAUCCAAUUCCUAAAAAGAUUAGGAAUGAUAAUUUAAUCAUUUUGUUUAAAACAAACCCAAUUUCUAGAACGAAUAGAAAUGAUUUUUUUUAUAUAUAUAAAUAAAGAAAAGAUAAUCCAAUUAUCUUAUCUUAUU